AGCACGACAAGGUUAAUCCGAGUGGUUUGUGCUAAACGAACCUUUUGUCGGUCCUAGAAACACCGAUGAAUAAGGGGUGGGCAAGUUCUGGUGUCAGCCGCCGCGGUAAAACCAGCACCUCAAGUGGUCAGGAUGAUUAUUGGGCCUAAAGCAUCCGUAGCCGGCUCUGUAAGUUUUCGGUUAAAUCUGUACGCUCAACGUACAGGCUGCCGGGAAUACUGCAGAGCUAGGGAGUGGGAGAGGUAGACGGUACUCGGUAGGAAGGGGUAAAAUCCUUUGAUCUAUUGAUGACCACCUGUGGCGAAGGCGGUCUACCAGAACACGUCCGACGGUGAGGGAUGAAAGCUGGGGGAGCAAACCGGAUUAGAUACCCGGGUGGUCCCAGCUGUAAACUAUGCAAACUCAGUGAUGCAUUGGCUUGUGGCCAAUGCAGUGCUGCAGGGAAGCCGUUAAGUUUGCCGCCUGGGAAGUACGUACGCAAGCACGACAAAGCACGACAAUGGCGGGGG
rnacentral:rRNA from 1 species